ACAAAAAGUGAGGUCUAAAGCACAUUCAUCCACGGCCUGGGUUUUUGGCCCAAACUCAAGACUCUUAUAGGACAAACAAAAAUGAAAUCCAAAAUGUUAUCACCCUCGCCUUUAGAAGUCAAAUGGACUUAAAGGAGCUCGUACUGCCUACGUUUGACGGUCCAGUCAAAUGAUGACGUGACAAACAGGUGUGAGAAGUCGAUUGGGCCCACAGCCAUAUGGCAGUUAAUUCCAGUCACCGGCCCCUGGUGACCUUCGAAGACCUCCCCAAUACCUGCUUUGCUGCAUGAAGACCACACAGGAGCAGAAUUUCAGUGACCUUUGCAAAGCAGCGACUGCUUUUAAAGAAAACAAACCCGUCUCUGCAUGAUUACAUCUCGGUAAUUUAGAAGAACCACCAUGAACUACCAAAAAUGAAACCACUUUCACAGUUAUCUUGAGAGAAAUAAAAUGCUAGACUGGUUUUGAUGAUUAAAAAA